UACGGGGGGAGCAAGGCGUUGUUCGGAUUUACUGGGCGUAAAGGGGCGCGGUAGGCGGCCAGUGCAAGUCAGUUGUGAAAUCUCCGAGCUUAACUCGGAAAGGUCAACUGAUACUGCUCGGCUAGAGUGCGGAAGGGGCAACUGGAAUUCUUGGUGUAGCGGUGAAAUGCGUAGAUAUCAAGAGGAACACCUGCGGCGAAGGCGGGUUGCUGGGCCGACACUGACGCUGAAGCGCGAAAGCUAGGGGAGCGAACGGG
rnacentral:rRNA from 1 species